rnacentral:lncRNA from 1 species
CAAAAUGUUCACGGAGGGAAACCCUGGAAUCUCCCCCUGAAAACCUGUUAAUGUGGCUGAGAGCUCAAAACUGAAUCAUUGAAAACAGUAUAUUUUAUGGACAUAGAGAAAGAUGCUGCUUUUCUCCUGACAAUCUUCAAAGAGGGACCAGGUCAUGAUAAAGCAAAGCUGAAAGUCACUGCAGAGCAGGUCAGCAACCCACAGAGACAAUCUUCCCUAAAUUGGCACUUUAAUGCCUUGGGUUUUAGCAUUCUGGCCUCAGAUGGAAAACCUGUAUGGACUCAGGACUGGAAUUAGAAAAUUUUAAGAGAACAAAAGCAAAAGGAAGUUUUGCUGCUAACUGUCUCUAUCAAGUUUUUCUACAUUGAAGACAAACUGUGUAUGUGAUUUGUUCUCCUCAAAUGAGAUAUUCAGGGUACGUUGCUCAAAUAAAGAGGGCAAAGCGAUAUGGAGCACAUAGAAAAGAAGAGCGUUUACAUUGAAAGUGAAUUCCGGAGCAAGGAAGUUAUUGGCAUUCGUUUAGUGUACCACAAUGCUAGGGCUGAGGCCUCCGGGAUCCUCUGGGCCUUUUUCAUGGUUGAAAAAUGACAGUGGCAGCUUCAUUCCUUGUGCCCAGUUCCAGAGAGGAGGAAUGAGAAAGGAGCAAGAAGAAAAGGCUGACAUCUAUGGGAAGCCAAACUUUUUCAGGAAUCCCCUGCUCAGCACAAUCAUAACUACAUAGAUGAUUACAGUUGUAUGUUCGGAGAAAAAGAGGAGAGAGAAGACUAAGACUCAUAGGAAAGAAUCCUGCUUUUAUUAAUCAUUCAUACAUAUUUUCAUUUAUGUUUUGAAAGCCAACAACAUACCAGGCUGUCUGUUUGGCACUUAAUAUCUUCAGUCUGACCGAUACCAACUUCGGUUUUCUUGUGGAAAAAAUAAGGAUGUGCUCCUCCUGGGCAUUCAGAAUCCAGCAGGAACACUAUCGCCUCUAUGAACCCCAUACCAGCCCAGGCUAAGUAAGAUGCUGUGGUAGAUUACAUUUUCCAAAGAUGGCUACACCAAGAUAUAUCCUGCCCCACAUAUCCUUCUUAUACCAUGACACUGACACGUCUCCAUCAAGAGAUGAGAUCCUUGUUCCCCUACCUUGACCUGGGUGGACCUUUGUAACUGCCUCAAACAACAGUGUGACAGAAGUGCAUGACCUCUCAGAUGUAUUUGUCGGGGUUUUCCAGAGAAACAGAAUCAAUAGGAUGUAUG